AGGAUAAUAGUUAAUAAUAAUAUUUAAUUUGCAUUUAAAAGGUGUUGAACUUCAACUUAUCUUA
rnacentral:tRNA from 1 species